rnacentral:rRNA from 1 species
UACGUAGGGUGCGAGCGUUGUCCGGAAUUAUUGGGCGUAAAGGGCUCGUAGGCGGUCUGUCACGUCGGGAGUGAAAACACGGGGCUCAACCCCGUGCCUGCUUCCGAUACGGGCAGACUAGAGGUAUGCAGGGGAGAACGGAAUUCCUGGUGUAGCGGUGAAAUGCGCAGAUAUCAGGAGGAACACCGGUGGCGAAGGCGGUUCUCUGGGCAUUACCUGACGCUGAGGAGCGAAAGUGUGGGGAGCGAACAGG